GCACAGAGCACACGGGGAGAAGAGGAUGGCAAAGAGAGGGUGGAGGAUCUUUUUGGCCUGAAGGUGUCUGAGGACUCCCCGACAUCAGAGUUCUCUAGGUGAGAUGGGGCUCGCAGACAAGGUUCAGGAGAGAGGAGACCAAGUCUUGCUGGAGCAGCCUGGCUGGCCAGGAGGGACACAAGGACAUCCCGGGUGGCACUUGCCUAAGCCUGUUGUACCUUGUGCCACUGCAUUCGGAC